rnacentral:rRNA from 1 species
UAGUCGUACGAACGCACCCUUGUCCCUAGUUGCCAGCACUUCGGGUGGGAACUCUAGGGAGACUGCCGGUGAUAAACCGGAGGAAGGUGGGGAUGACGUCAAGUCAUCAUGGCCUUUAUGGGGAGGGCUACACACGUGCUACAAUGGCCGGUACAGAGGGCUGCGAAGCCGCGAGGUGGAGCGAAUCUCAGAAAACCGGUCGUAGUCCGGAUUGCAGUCUGCAACUCGACUGCAUGAAGCCGGAAUCGCUAGUAAUCGCGGAUCAGAAUGCCGCGGUGAAUACGUUCCCGGGCCUUGUACACACCGCCCGUCACAUCACGAAAGCUGGCUGUACUAGAAGUCGCUGUGCCAACCCGCAAGGGAGGUAAGCGCCUAAGGUAUGGUUGGUGAUUGGGGUGAAGUCGUAACAAGGUAGCUGUAGGAGAACCUGUGGCUGGAUCACCUCCUUU